CAGCACCUCAAGUGGUCAGGAUGAUUAUUGGGCCUAAAGCAUCCGUAGCCUGCUUUGUCAGUUUUCGGUUAAAUCCAUACGCUCAACGUAUGGGCUGCCGGGAAUACUGCAAAGCUAGGGAGUGGGAGAGGUAGACGGUACUCGGUAGGAAGGGGUAAAAUCCUUUGAUCUAUUGAUGACCACCUGUGGCGAAGGCGGUCUACCAGAACACGUCCGACGGUGAGGGAUGAAAGCUGGGGGAGCAAACCGGAUUAGAGACCCGAGUAGUCC
rnacentral:rRNA from 1 species